rnacentral:lncRNA from 1 species
AUGGAUGAAGCACUCCAGACAAAACUCAAAUAUAAAAAGAAAGCAUACAAGAGGUGGAAGCAGAGUCAGGUGACUUGGGAGGAAUAUAGAGACACUGUCUGGGUGUGCAGGGAUGGUGUUAGGAAAACCAAGGCCCAUCUAGGGUUGAAUCUGGUGAGGGUUGUGAAGGACAACAAGAAAGGCUUCUACAGGUACAUCAGCAGCAAAGGGAAGACUUGGGAAAAUGUGGGCCUGCUGCUGAAUGGGGCAGAGGACCUGGUGACAAAGGACACAAAAAAGGUCAAGGUAGAGAAUGUCUUCUUCACCACAGUCUUUAGUGGUAAGACUGGCCUUCAAGAAUCACAGGUCCCUGAGACCAGAAUAAAAGCCCAGAGCAAGGAAGACUUAUUCUUGGUGGAGGAGGAUCAGGUUAGGGAUCACUUAAACAAACUGGACAUACAUAAGUCCAUGGGACCUGAUGAGAUACACCUACGAGUGCUAAGAAAGCUGGCCUGUGUCAUUUCAAGGCCACUCUUGACAAUCUUUGAAAGGUCAUGGCAAUCAGGGGAGGUUCCUGAGGCUUGGAAGAGAGCAAAUGUCACUCCUAUCUUCAAGAAGGGCAAGAAGGAUAUGAGGAACUACCAGCUGGCCAGCCUCACCUCAAUGCCUGGGAAGGUGAUAGAGCAAAUAAUCCUGGAAACCAUUUCCAAACAUAAGGAGGACAAGAAGGUGAUUGGGUGUAGUCAGUGUAGAUUUAUGAAGAGGAAACCAUACUUAACCAACCUCAUAAAAUUUUAUGACAAGAGGACUAGCUUGGUGGAUAAGGGGAGAGCAGUGGAUGUUGUCCACCUUGACUUUAGUAAGGCUUUUGACAGUGUCUCACAUAACAUCCUCACAGACAAGCUCAUGAAGUGUGGGCUAGAUAGGUUGACACUGAGGUGGGUUGAAAACUGGCUCAACUGCCAGGCUCAGAGGGUUGUGAUCAGUGGCCCAAAGUCCAGCUGGAGGCCAGUCACUAGUGGUGUAUCCUGGGGUCGAUGCUGGGGCCAAUAUUGUUUAACUUCUUCAGUAAUGAUGUAUGAUGGGACAGAGUACACCCUCAGCAAGUUUGCAGAUGAUACAAAACCGAGGAGUGGUUGUUGUCCUAGAUGGCUCUGCUGCCAGUCAGAAGGACUUCAACAACCUGGAGAAACAGGCAAACAAGAAUCUCAUGAAGUUCAACAAGUGAAAUGCCAAGUCUUGCACCUGGAAAAGAAUAACUCCAUGCACCAGUACAGGUUUAGGGCUGACUGGCUGUAA